ACCGCGGUGGAACAGCGCUGCCGCUCCUUCGCUGCCUCCCGUGCCGGGUACUCUUACGGCUCCACAUACUACGCUUCAGCCAAAAUGGAGACGAAGCAACUCAAGCCUGGACGAGACAUGAAUCAGAGCGAUCAGGAGACCCAACAUUUCACUCCAGAAAUUCUAAAGCUGAUGAGAAGCAGUUUUCGUUGAGUCAGCUGUCUGCAGAAGCUGUGUCU
rnacentral:lncRNA from 1 species